GCUAAUGUUGCACCAAUAUUUGAGAAAAGUAAACAGGAUGACCCAGCUAAUUAUAGUCCCGUCAGUCUGAAAUUGAUCUCAAGAAAGAUAAUGGAGGGGAAAAUACAGGACUCAAUCAAUAAGGAAGUAAAUGAGGUGCCCAGUUGAUACCAGGAUUUGGACAAAGGCAAGUUGGUUUAAAGCUCAGUCUGGCCAAGCUAGAGAUUUCAUCUGGAGGACUGGAUUGCUCAUUAGUAUAAGCCUCAUCAGCGAGACAUCUGAACAUUUUCACUGGCAUUCCAAUAAGACCUCAGUCCGCAAUCAAUCCUCAGCAUGACACAGCACAAUGGAUGCCGAGGACUCAAGCAAAGAAAGAGCACUCACAGAAGCACUAAAUCAUCACAACAUCAGUUCAUUUUACACUGACAAGGAUUCUUAAGAUAAGGGUUUAAAGCCAAACAAUCUAGGUACCUGUUUCAGUGAAAUAGGAAGCUUAUUUCUAAGUCUUUUAUAAUUCUUCUCAUGAUCUCCUUCCCCUUCAUCAUUCAAUCUCUUUCAACAGCCUCAUAUAUGAGAACAUAAUAAAAAUGUUGUGAUGUCCCCCUGGUAAAUAAAAGGUACGAUGAGA